rnacentral:rRNA from 1 species
UGGAAACAGUAUAGCCGUAAGGCAAAUGUGAAGGUGCUGCAUGGUUGUCGUCAGCUCGUGCCGUGAGGUGUCGGCUUAAGUGCCAUAACGAGCGCAACCCUUAUCUUUAGUUACUAACAGGUCAUGCUGAGGACUCUAGAGAGACUGCCGUCGUAAGAUGUGAGGAAGGUGGGGAUGACGUCAAAUCAGCACGGCCCUUACGUCCGGGGCUACACACGUGUUACAAUGGGGGGUACAGAAGGCAGCUACCUGGUGACAGGAUGCUAAUCCCAAAAGCCUCUCUCAGUUCGGAUCGAAGUCUGCAACCCGACUUCGUGAAGCUGGAUUCGCUAGUAAUCGCGCAUCAGCCAUGGCGCGGUGAAUACGUUCCCGGGCCUUGUACACACCGCCCGUCAAGCCAUGAAAGCCGGGGGUACCUGAAGUACGUAACCGCAAGGAGCGUCCUAGGGUAAAACUGGUAAUUGGGGCUAAGUCGUAACAAGGUAGCCGUACCGGAAGGUGCGGCUGG